rnacentral:rRNA from 1 species
CUGACUGCUAUCGGAUUGGUACUAAGCCAUGCGAGUCAUUGUAGCAAUACAAGGCGGACGGCUCAGUAACACGUAGUCAACCUAACUCGUGGACGUGGAUAACCUCGGGAAACUGAGAAUAAACCACGAUAGAUCAUAGUGCCUGGAAUGGCUUAUGGUCCAAACAGUUUACUGCCAUGGGAUGGGACUGCGGCCUAUCAGCUUGUUGGUGAGGUAAUGGCCCACCAAGGCGAUUACAGGUACGGGCUCUGAGAGGAGUAGCCCGGAGAUGGGUACUGAGACACGGACCCAGGCCCUAUGGGGCGCAGCAGGCGAGAAACCUUAGCAAUGUGCGAAAGCACGACUGGGUCAGUCCGAGUGAUUCCUGAUAAAGGAGUCUUUUGCCUGUCCUAAAAGCACAGGUGAAUAAGGGGUGGGCAAGUCUGGUGUCAGCCGCCGCGGUAAUACCAGCACCUCGAGUGGUCAGGACGUUUAUUGGGCCUAAAGCAUCCGUAGCCGGCUCUGCAAGUCUUCGGUUAAAUCCACCUGCUCAACAGAUGGGCCGCUGGAGAUACUACAGAGCUAGGGAGUGGGAGAGGCAGACGGUAUUCAGUGGGUAGGGGUAAAAUCCACUGAUCCAUAGAGGACCACCAGUGGCGAAGGCGGUCUACCAGAACGCGUUCGACGGUGAGGGAUGAAAGCUGGGGGAGCAAACCGGAUUAGAUACCCGGGUAGUCCCAGCUGUAAACGAUGCAAACUCGGUGAUGCAUUGGCUUUUGGCCAAUGCAGUGCCGCAGGGAAGCCGUUAAGUUUGCCGCCUGGGAAGUACGGACGCAAGUCUGAAACUUAAAGGAAUGGGCGGGGGAGCAC